rnacentral:rRNA from 1 species
UCAGCAGCCGCGGUAAUACGUAGGGAGCGAGCGUUGUCCGGAUUUAUUGGGCGUAAAGGGCGUGUAGGCGGCUUCUUAAGUCAGGGGUGAAACCCCGGAGCUCAACUCCGGGCCUGCCUCUGAAACUGGGGAGCUUGAGUGCUCUAGAGGGCAGUGGAAUUCCCGGUGUAGCAGUGAAAUGCGUAGAGAUCGGGAGGAACACCAGUGGCGAAGGCGACUGCCUGGGGAGUAACUGACGCUGAGGCGCGAAAGCUGGGGGAGCAAACGGGAUUAGAUACCCCGGUAGUCCCAGCCGUAAACGAUGAGUGCUAGGUGUGAGGGGUAUCGACCCCCCUCGUGCCGGAGUUAACGCAAUAAGCACUCCGCCUGGGGAGUACGGCCGCAAGGUUGAAACUCAAAGGAAUUGACGGGGGCCCGCACA